rnacentral:tRNA from 3 species
GCUCAGAUGUCCGAGUGGUCUAAGGAGCCGGAUUCAAGUCCCGGUCUAGCAAUAGGCGAGGGUUCGAAUCCCUCUCUGAGCA